rnacentral:rRNA from 1 species
GACGAACGCUGGCGGCGUGCUUAACACAUGUAAGUCGAACGGAAAGGCCCUGCUUUUGUGGGGUGCUCGAGUGGCGAACGGGUGAGUAACACGUGAGUAACCUGCCCUUGACUUUGGGAUAACUUCAGGAAACUGGGGCUAAUACCGGAUAGGAGCUCCUGCUGCAUGGUGGGGGUUGGAAAGUUUCGGCGGUUGGGGAUGGACUCGCGGCUUAUCAGCUUGUUGGUGGGGUAGUGGCUUACCAAGGCUUUGACGGGUAGCCGGCCUGAGAGGGUGACCGGCCACAUUGGGACUGAGAUACGGCCCAGACUCCUACGGGAGGCAGCAGUGGGGAAUAUUGCACAAUGGGCGGAAGCCUGAUGCAACAACGCCGCGUGCGGGAUGACGGCCUUCGGGUUGUAAACCGCUUUCGCCUGUGACGAAGCGUGAGUGACGGUAAUGGGUAAAGAAGCACCGGCUAACUACGUG